rnacentral:rRNA from 1 species
GACGAACGCUGGCGGCGUGCUUAACACAUGCAAGUCGAACGAAGUGGCGAACGGGUGAGUAACGCGUAAUCAACCUGCCCGUCAGAGGGGGACAACAGUUGGAAACGACUGAUAAUACCGCAUACUGAAGGAGGGGAUUGCGUCUGAUUAGCUAGUUGGGGGGGUAACGGCCCACCAAGGCGAUGAGCAGUAGCCGUUUUUAGAGAAGGAACUGCCACAUUGGGACGGAGGCACGGCCCAGACUCCUACGGGAGGCGUCAGUGGGGAAGUUUCCCGAAUGGACGAAAGUCUGACGGAGCAACGCCGCGUGAGUGAUGACGGCCUUCGGGUUGUAAAGCUCUGUUAAUCGGGACGCGGUACCGGAAUAGAAAGCCACGGCUAACUACGUGCCAGCAGCCGCGGUAAUUC